UCGCUGUGAAGAUGCAGUGUACCCGCGGCAAGACGGAAAGACCCCGUGAACCUUUACUAUAGCUUGACACUGAACAUUGAGCCUUGAUGUGUAGGAUAGGUGGGAGGCUUAGAAGUGUGGACGCCAGUCUGCAUGGAGCCGACCUUGAAAUACCACCCUUUAAUGUUUGAUGUUCUAACGUUGACCCCUAAUCGGGGUUGCGGACAGUGUCUGGUGGGUAGUUUGACUGGGGCGGUCUCCUCCUAAAGAGUAACGGAGGAGCACGAAGGUUGGCUAAUCCUGGUCGGACAUCAGGAGGUUAGUGC
rnacentral:rRNA from 1 species